CAAGGAUAUAAAGAUCGUGCCUAGUCUUAUGUGCAACCAAGGCUGGAUUUAUAUAACAGGUGCCCAUAGACACAAAGUUGCAUGCAAUUUUCUACUUGCAAUAUAUUGUGUGAAUUUGUGUGUGUAUGCAGCUGUAUAAAUGCUUGCAGGGAUGAAGAUCAUGUUAGAUGUGGUUAGAGUAAAGGGCGUUUAAAGUUAGAGAGGGGUAAACAACA